rnacentral:rRNA from 1 species
AACGAACGCUGGCGGCAGGCUUAACACAUGCAAGUCGAGCGCCCCGCAAGGGGAGCGGCAGACGGGUGAGUAACGCGUGGGAACGUACCCUUUGCUACGGAAUAGCUCCGGGAAACUGGAAUUAAUACCGUAUGUGCCCUACGGGGGAAAGAUUUAUCGGCAAAGGAUCGGCCCGCGUUGGAUUAGCUAGUUGGUGGGGUAAUGGCCUACCAAGGCGACGAUCCAUAGCUGGUCUGAGAGGAUGAUCAGCCACAUUGGGACUGAGACACGGCCCAAACUCCUACGGGAGGCAGCAGUGGGGAAUAUUGGACAAUGGGCGGAAGCCUGAUCCAGCCAUGCCGCGUGAGUGAUGAAGGCCUUCGGGUUGUAAAGCUCUUUCGCACGCGACGAUGAUGACGGUAGCGUGAGAAGAAGCCCCGGCUAACUUCGUGCCAGCCGCCGCGGUAACAC